GGUGGCGGCGGCGCCCGAGUAUCCGUCCCGCACGCCGGGGCGAGGGGCGAGCAAGCGCGCUCCUCCUCCCGCGCCCUGCGCCCCCGUGCUCCCCCUCUCCCCGCUGCUCGUUCUCCCGUCCCUCCCUCCUUCUCUUCCUUCUUUCCGUGUUAUUUUCCUCUUCUCUUUCCCCUUUUCUCUCUCCCUGACCGUUCGCUUGUACAUUCCCAUUCUCCCCCCGUCGCUCUCCUCUCUCCCCCUCCCCUCCUCACUGUCACACUCUCUCUGCCCCCGUCUCUCUUUUCUCAUUUGCUUGCUCAUCUCCGAACGUGGUUCCGCGGCUCCCGGAGGAGCCCAGCUCUCGGAGCACCUGGAGUCCGGCCGGCGGCGGCCCGAGCCUGGCCAGCGGCGGCGGCGGCGGCGGGAGCGGCGGGAGGCGAGGUAGCGGCAGCCCCGACCGCGGGCACCGCGGGAGCCCCAGCGGCAGCAGUCGCCGCCGAGAUGUCCCGGCGAAAGCAGAGCAAACCCCGGCAGAUCAAACGGCCGCUUGAAGAUGCCAUUGAAGAUGAGGAAGAAGAAUGUCCAUCAGAGGAAACAGACAUCAUCUCCAAAGGAGACUUUCCAUUGGAGGAAAGCUUUUCCACAGAAUUUGGGCCUGAAAAUCUGAGCUGUGAAGAAGUGGAAUACUUUUGUAACAAAGGUGAUGAUGAAGGAAUCCAGGAGACAGCAGAAUCAGAUGGGGACACACAGUCAGAGAAACCGGGGCAAUCUGGAGUUGAGACAGAUGACUGGGAUGGCCCAGUGCCAUUACUUCAGUGAUAAGGAUUGUUUAAUUUUGGCUCCAGGAGAAAUGAAAUUUUUCAAGUCUAGGAACAUGGAACUCUGAUCCAAAUUUGCAAAACAACAGUGAGUCAUUUGACAUAACUCUACUUCAUUGUUUUCCUAAUUAGACAUCUUCCAUCUUAAAUGCGGCUGACCAUGGGAAUGCAAGCUCACACACUUGAGUUCAAGUGGCAGCAUCCAGCCCGAUACUUUCUGACCGUGUGGUUUGGAUAAUGCUUUAGCUUCUCUAGUGUAGUGUUUUCUCAUUUACUAACAUCAACAUGGGUUAAAACUGAUGUGAAGAUUGAAUGAUAAUGUAUGUUGAACUUCCUAUGUAAAUUGUACUGAAAAAAUGCUAUUUGGACAUUGUUUAAAAAUGCAAGUUUCUACUUAUCCAAAUUUAUAGAAAUGGAAUGUGUCAAAAGAAAUGAUUGUCUUCUACUCUCUCCAAGACCUGAUGAGACCGGACCCAUACUUAAAAUGCCAGAGCCAGGGUUAGCUAAACUAAUACAUCUUCUAAUGGUCGUGAUUCCUUCGGGGGAUUAUCCGGGUGGGCUGGAAGCAGGGUUUUGUCACUCAUUCUUGUAGUUUGAGGCUUCCUAAUGACACAGAACUUUAUGUUUCAUAAAAUCUGAGUUAAAUAAGAGUGUUAGUACUGGGAAGUACCUUAGAGAUACAGAGAACUGCAGAUUUGCAAGUCUCUUCUUUGUAAAUAUUAAUUCUAUCGGUGCAGAAUGGGGUCUGGGAAAAGACCUUUUUAAUAAGCAUCUCUUUCCUAAACUGGCUCUGGUCAUUCUGCUGACCACCAGCUUGGGUGUAAGAAGCACUGCCUUGGAAGACAUGGUUUCUUCAAACUCCUGAUCGGUAUUCAAUUAUCCUACUCUGGCAAGGAUACCCCUCUUGGUGAGGAUUUCAUGGAACACAACUAAGGUAUAUCCUCAGUUUCGAGCCCCAAAACAUUUUACUGAGAAUAAAGAAGGCACCAAAGAUAAUAUAUGAUUUUUUAAUUUCUUUCCUGGUUGCUCUUCAUAAUAAUGCAUUGUAUAGUCUAGAAAAAUAUGGAAAUACUUUUUACAGAAAGUAUAACUUUCUAUUUUAAGUAUUGUUCUCACAGGUCAUAAAAUCCUGAAUUUUAUAUCAUGAUCUUAGUUGACAAUGAUAAUGUCUCUGAUUUGUCUUAUUCUGAGGUUAAUUUUACAUUGAUCCAAUAUGUUAGGAUAUUCUGAUUGAAGUUUAAAUUCAGACCGAUUUGUGGAAGCUAAUGUCAUUACAAGAAAACUAACAAGACAUGCAGGAGUUUCAUUUUAUUUCCCUCUUACUAUCCUUCAGAACUGGCAGAAAUAAGAUAUUUAUAUAGUCUAUGAAACCUGUUAUUUUAAUUUUUGCCUAGUAAACAUUGUUUCUUUUUAAGACUAUAAAAUACUUGAGGUCAGAUACUUUUUAAAAAAGUGGAUGUUACUCCUUUCUGGCUUCUGAUUCUGCACCUUGUACACAGAAGGGAGUGGCUCAAAAUGUGCACAAAUUCUCCCAAAACAUUUGCAUAAUGUGGUAAUGUCUAUAAUUAGUUUUAAGAUAAAUAUACUUUAAUUAAAGUCUGUCUAACCAGUGAAAUAUUUAAUACAACCAUUUUUGAAAAACAAUGAUUAGGAGUCAGCCAUUAUAAACAAGGAGGAAAUUGUUGGAAAAACUUGUUGCAUUUCUGUUUUUGCAGCUCAUUGGCUCCAUUGUUAUUGGAAGUGGAAGAAUGUUUAUUAUUUCAGGAGGUAAAGGCCGCUAGAAGCUUAUUUGUCUGAGAAAAUCUGCAAUAUUGGUUUUCUAUAACCUGGGAUAUGUUAUGAAACAUGUUUACAAAAAUUAUGACUUCAGGCUUGGUGAGCAUUUUUUUUUUUAAUAAUAGCUAGUCCUUUGCCAGAUCUGUAAUGUAAAAUUCAACCAAUUUUUCUAGGUAUCAGAUAUCAUGCUUAUAUUAAAGUAUUUUUCUGUUUCAAUGCUGUUUUUAUUACAUUGCAUAGAUCAAGGAAUCGAAAUGCUGGUGAAUCACUUGAACUCCCCGAUGAGCAUCAAAUAGUGGUAGGUAACCACCAGCUAGCUGUAAGCUCAGUUACUGCUGUGAUAAUCUUUUGAGAGUGGGUGAUUAUGGUAGUACAUUGUUUUCUUGCCAGUGUUUUUCUCAUAGGUAGCUGCUCUUAGCUUCAUUUGACUAAUGGAAAUUUUAAAUUCUGCCUCAUGAUUCACAGGGGAGUAGAGAGCAACCAUAUAUCUUAUGCCCAGGGUUCUGAACUGCAUGGUGUUUGAAAGAAAAGAGCAGCAUUUACCCAGGGAGCAUUGGUACCUUAUCUAAUUUGCCACUUCUUUCUUCCUUUCAGAAUCAUUUCAUCUUCCUAUGCUUGCAUUCAUGCACGUAUCUUCCACUUACACGGCAGUUAUAUUGCACAACUCUGCACCUACAAAUAUAACUAUGUCUAAACAAUCUCAGGUAUUGUCACCAGUAUGAUUGUAGAGUCCAGGUUCAUGUGCUAGCACAGAAAAAGUAAAUUAUGUAAUGUGUGAACAAUUUCUACUCUUUCCUUUUAGUACACCCUUAAUAGCAACUAGACUUAUAUUUUCCUCUUUAAUCAAAAACUAUUUAUUGAAUUCAUACAAGAGUUUUUUAAGUAUGGGACCCAUUUUAAGUAUGGGUCCGGACUACUGAACUAGAAUGUAAAAUUAAUCCAAGAAAAAAAGGCAUAUUCUGCAAAAGUUGAAAAGAGCCCUUUGCAGGGAGAAGAAAUAUUUUAAGUUAUAACUGCAGGCAAUAUGUGUUUCCUGAAUUAGGGAAUGAUGGUACUGUGGGAUUACUUUUUUUUUUUUUUUUUUGAGACAAAGUCUUACUCUGUUGCCCAGCGCGAUCUCAGCUCACUGCAAGCUCCGUCCGCCAGGUUCACGCCAUUCUCCUCCCUCAGCCUCCUGAGUAGCUGGGACUACAGGAACCCGCCACCAUGCCCAGCUAAUUUUUCGUAUUUUUAGUAGAGACGGGGUUUCACCGUGUUAGCCAGGAUGGUCUUGAACUCCUGACUUCGUGAUCUGCCCACCUUGGGCUCCCAGAGUGCUGGGAUUACAGACUUGAGCCACCACUCCCGGCCGGGAUUACAUUUUUAAAAAAUCCAGUUCACAAAAGUGGUUGCAAAGGUCAGAGUAAAAGUGGUUUAGUGUGGACUAGGAGAACAUGUUACGUCAUAGUUGGAGAGCCUAUCACAUCAUACUUUCAGCAUAAAAAUAUUUCUUAAAAAAAAAUUGGGCUAUAUUGCUUCCCUUAAUUUUCUGUAUUUGUUUUGCUCCAUUGUAUAAAUCUGCUUGAGCUUCUAUACGAAAAUUCCUUGGACUGUGUGGCUUAAACAACUGAAAUUUAUUUUCUUGCAGUUCUGGAGGCUGGAUGCCCAAGAUCAGGUGCCAGCAUGGUCUGGUUGGUGGUGGGGGCUCCCUUCCUGGCUGCAGAUGGCCACCUUCUAGCUGUGUGCACAGGUGACCUUUUCUCACUUUGUGCACAUGGAAAGACAGGCACUCUGGUUUCUCUUCCUCUUCUUGUGAGGACUCUAAUCCUAUUGGAUCAGGCUCCUAACUUUAUGUGCUAAUAAUCUAACCAUAAUUACUUUCGUAAAGGCCCUAUAGUCAAAUACUGUCACAAUGGGAAGGAAUUAGGGCUUCCACAUAGGAAUUUGGGAGGGCCACAAGUCAGUCCAUAGCAACCACCAGUGGUUCAGUGAAUGGUAUUAAUAUAGUAAGAAUGUAUCUUAAGUAGGUAAGUUAGCGUGUAGUUGAUACCCAGGUAAGAACCAGACAGCAAUCCCUUUACUGGAUUGACCUCUAUUUAGGCCAGACCAGACUGUCAGUUUUGGGUGUAGUCACAAACUAACUCAAGUUAGUGUGUGUUGGAGCACAAACUCAAGCUCAAAAUAACGUCAUCAGCAGCAACAGCAACUUAUUGCCACAAAUAAUGAGAAAAAUCCCAAUUUGAAUUUGACUUCUCAGUAAAUGAUUUGGGGCUGAGUGAAUGGGCAGCUAUCAACAUUACAUAUAUAUACUGAAGUAAUCUGUAUCCCUUGUUGUUAACAAUUUGGUUAUCAGAUUGUCUAAUGUUUUUCUGCCUGAUUUACCAAUUAUGGCAAAAGGUAUAUUUCCAUCUUCCAUUAUGACAAUGGAUUUGUCAGCUUUUCUCUUGUAAUUCACUGUAUUUUUACUUUAUGUAUUUUAAGGCUACGCCAUCAAGUGCAUAGAAGUCAAUUUUUAUUUCCUAGUAAAUUAUUAAUUCAAUAAUUAUCUCAUUACUCUUUAUCCUUAAUAGUGAUUUUUUUGGCUAUUAUUCUGUUUACUCUGAUAUAGCAUCUUUCCUAUACACUUUCUCUAUUCCUUUUCCUCUUUCUUUUUUAGAUGUACUUCAUGAAUGUAGCAUACAGGCAGAUUUUUAAAAAAUUAAAUUCAGAUACUUUGUCCGUUAACUGGAUACUUCUCUUUGCAUUUAUUGUGAUUACUGAUCUAAUUCUAUUCAUCUUUACCAUAUGAUAUGGUAUACAUUUUUUAAUUCUUUUUCCUUCUUUUCAUAAACUUCUUUUAUAUCAACUUUUUAAAAAUGUCUUUUUUCCCCUCUACCAACUUAGCAGACAUAAAUUUUAUUUAUAUUUUUAGUGGUUUUCUUUAAAUGUUUAUUUCGAUAUUUCCCACCAGAGCAAAACCUGUCAUUACUCAACAUCUAUAGUCUUCUUCCAAACUGUGCACAGACUUUAGAAUCAUUUAAUACCCAGGACACCUUCCUAUUUUACAUGAAUUUGUUUCCUAAUAUUUUAGAAAUUUGCAGUUAUUGUGUUAUAUGUGAAAUAUUUAUUUAGAUGUAUUAUUUUGUUUAUCUGCUUAUUUACCUGCAUUCUUGUUCACUGUUGAUACUUGCAUCUCAUUUCUUUAUUCUCUUUCUUUCUUUUCUUUCUUUUCUUUCUUUC
rnacentral:lncRNA from 1 species